CCCCUCUCAGGGUGGCAUCUGGAGAGUUUCCAGGACUCUACCAGUCUCGGCUAUGGGAGGGAGAGUCAAGCAGAGGGCUACCCAGGCCAAUCCUAGCUUGAGCAGUGGCUAGCAAGUGGAAGGCAGUCUGCUACAAAU